CUUUCCUACGGGGCGCAGCAGUGAGGAAUAUUGGUCAAUGGCCGUAAGGCUGAACCAGCCAAGUCGCGUGAAGGAAGAAGGAUCUAUGGUUUGUAAACUUCUUUUAUAGGGGAAUAAAGGUAUCCACGUGUGGAUAUUUGCAUGUACCCUAUGAAUAAGCAUCGGCUAACUCCGUGCCAGCAGCCGCGGUAAUACGGAGGAUGCGAGCGUUAUCCGGAUUUAUUGGGUUUAAAUGGUGCGUAGGUUGUUUUUUAAGUCAGCGGUCAAAUCGUGGGGCUCAACCCCAUCCAGCCGUUGAACCUGUG
rnacentral:rRNA from 1 species